rnacentral:rRNA from 1 species
UUACGGGGCGCAGCAGGCGCGAAACCUCUGCAAUAGGCGAAAGCCUGACAGGGUUACUCUGAGUGAUUUCCGCUAAGGGGAUCUUUUGKCACCUCUAAAAAUGGUGCAGAAUAAGGGGUGGGCAAGUCUGGUGUCAGCCGCCGCGGUAAUACCAGCACCCCGAGUGGUCGGGACGAUUAUUGGGCCUAAAGCAUCCGUAGCCGGUUCUGCAAGUCUUCCGUUAAAUCCAGCCGCUCAACGGAUGGGCYGCGGAGGAUACUACARGACUAGGAGGCGGGAGAGGCAAGCGGUACUCARUGGGUAGGGGUAAAAUCCUUUGAUCCAUUGAAGACCACCAGUGGCGAAGGCGGCUUGCCAGAACGCGYUCGACGGUGAGGGAUGAAAGCUGGGGGAGCAAACCGGAUUAGAUACCCGGGUAGUCCCAGCUGUAAACGAUGCAGACUCGGUGAUNGGCUAGCNUNGAGCCAUCCCAGUGCCGCAGGGAAGCCG